UACGUAGGGAGCAAGCGUUGUCCGGAAUCACUGGGCGUAAAGGGCGCGUAGGCGGCGCGGGAAGUCAUCGGUGAAAGUUCAGGGCUCAACUCUGAAUCGGCCGGUGAUACUCUCGUGCUCGAGCACUGUAGAGGCAGGUGGAAUUCCGGGUGUAGCGGUGGAAUGCGUAGAGAUCCGGAAGAACACCGGUGGCGAAGGCGGCCUGCUGGGCAGUAGCUGACGCUGAUGCGCGACAGCGUGGGGAGCAAACAGG
rnacentral:rRNA from 1 species